ACAUUUUUCUCACUUUGCACUUUCUUCUUCCUCCUCUUCCUUAUGCAUCUCUCUCUCUUCUCUUUUUGUGUUUGCUUGAGUGGAAAAGAAAAACGAUGAAAGCAAGGCACAAGUUUCUCCAAGGUCUCCUUGAGGCCUUUAUCAUGCAUGAGUCAAUGAAAAGUACCAUGGCCAUACUGAACUUCUCAAAGAUUGGAAUCCAUGGAUUGAAAGAAAUCCUUACAGCAGCAAUCUUUGCCAGAAUUCAUGAGUUUGGAAAUCCAAGUUCCAAUGUUCUAACGUUGGCUUGUUCAUGAUAAUUGGGUGCUAUCCUACCUGAGCUUUUAUACCUAUGAUCAUUUUUCUUAUCCAACCUACUUUUUUUUUUUAAUCCUCUCUGCUUUUGGUCAAUCUUCUUGACCUUGUAAGACCUUUCCUUAAUUUAGUAAGAUCUAGCACCGUAUCUAUUGUUUUUAUUUUCUAGUUUCUCAUGAAUUCUAUAUCAUAGUUUGUUGACAUAGAGUUUAGUGGUUAUCUUUUCCCAUUUCUAUCCAACUCAUCUUCUCCUUCCCUGUCUAUCCCUCCUGAGCUAUUUGAAACUAGACCGACAUGCAUCUCUCCUAAAUAUAGUACCGUCUGUCAGAAGACUUGAGAAGAUCCUUGAGUUUAUGCAAGCAAUGGAGAUCUCGAUUGCAACAUCAUGGAUUACAAUUUUUAUUCCCUUUUUUUUUUUUUUCACAUGUAAAUCAUGUAGAAGGAUUGAAGAAAAUGCAAAGAGUGAUCCAGCUUGAGAAAUAUGCAUCUGCAGACAUCGUGUUCGUUGUUUUAUAUGUUGUUGGCUGAUGAGAAAGUGACGAAGAGAAUAAAUAUUGUUCUCUCAGAUCUGUGGAAAGAGUUUACUCUCGUGACUGCUGUUAUGUACAAAACAUCAACUGUAUUAUUGGAUCUC